rnacentral:rRNA from 1 species
GGGUUGUGAGGUUAAGCGACUAAGCGUACACGGUGGAUGCCCUGGCAGUCAGAGGCGAUGAAGGACGUGCUAAUCUGCGAAAAGCGCCGGCGAGGUGAUAUGAACCCUUGACCCGGCGAUGUCCGAAUGGGGAAACCCAGUGUGAUUCGUCACACUAUCGUUAACUGAAUACAUAGGUUAACGAGGCGAACCGGGGGAACUGAAACAUCUAAGUACCCCGAGGAAAAGAAAUCAACCGAGAUUCCCCCAGUAGCGGCGAGCGAACGGGGAGCAGCCCAGAGUCUGAAUCAGCUUGUGUGUUAGUGGAAGCGUCUGGAAAGUCGCACGGUACAGGGUGACAGUCCCGUACACGAAAAUGCACAGGCUGUGAACUCGAAGAGUAGGGCGGGACACGUGGUAUCCUGUCUGAAUAUGGGGGGACCAUCCUCCAAGGCUAAAUACUCCUGACUGACCGAUAGUGAACCAGUACCGUGAGGGAAAGGCGAAAAGAACCCCGGCGAGGGGAGUGAAAAAGAACCUGAAACCGUGUACGUACAAGCAGUGGGAGCACCUUCGGGUGUGACUGCGUACCUUUUGUAUAAUGGGUCAGCGACUUAUAUUCUGUAGCAAGGUUAACCGUAUAGGGGAGCCGAAGGGAAACCGAGUCUUAACUGGGCGUUAAGUUGCAGGGUAUAGACCCGAAACCCGGUGAUCUAGCCAUGGGCAGGUUGAAGGUUGGGUAACACUAACUGGAGGACCGAACCGACUAAUGUUGAAAAAUUAGCGGAUGACUUGUGGCUGGGGGUGAAAGGCCAAUCAAACCGGGAGAUAGCUGGUUCUCCCCGAAAGCUAUUUAGGUAGCGCCUCGUGAACUCAUCUUCGGGGGUAGAGCACUGUUUCGGCUAGGGGGCCAUCCCGGCUUACCAACCCGAUGCAAACUACGAAUACCGAAGAAUGUUAUCACGGGAGACACACGGCGGGUGCUAACGUCCGUCGUGAAGAGGGAAACAACCCAGACCGCCAGCUAAGGUCCCAAAGUCAUGGUUAAGUGGGAAACGAUGUGGGAAGGCCCAGACAGCCAGGAUGUUGGCUUAGAAGCAGCCAUCAUUUAAAGAAAGCGUAAUAGCUCACUGGUCGAGUCGGCCUGCGCGGAAGAUGUAACGGGGCUAAACCAUGCACCGAAGCUGCGGCAGCGACACUAUGUGUUGUUGGGUAGGGGAGCGUUCUGUAAGCCGUUGAAGGUGGCCUGUGAGGGUUGCUGGAGGUAUCAGAAGUGCGAAUGCUGACAUAAGUAACGAUAAAGCGGGUGAAAAGCCCGCUCGCCGGAAGACCAAGGGUUCCUGUCCAACGUUAAUCGGGGCAGGGUGAGUCGACCCCUAAGGCGAGGCCGAAAGGCGUAGUCGAUGGGAAACAGGUUAAUAUUCCUGUACUUGGUGUUACUGCGAAGGGGGGACGGAGAAGGCUAUGUUAGCCGGGCGACGGUUGUCCCGGUUUAAGCAUGUAGGCGGAGGUUCCAGGUAAAUCCGGUACCUUUUUAACGCUGAGGUGUGAUGACGAGGCACUACGGUGCUGAAGUAACAAAUGCCCUGCUUCCAGGAAAAGCCUCUAAGCAUCAGGUAACAUCAAAUCGUACCCCAAACCGACACAGGUGGUCAGGUAGAGAAUACCAAGGCGCUUGAGAGAACUCGGGUGAAGGAACUAGGCAAAAUGGUGCCGUAACUUCGGGAGAAGGCACGCUGAUAUGUAGGUGAAGCCCCUGCGGGUGGAGCUGAAAUCAGUCGAAGAUACCAGCUGGCUGCAACUGUUUAUUAAAAACACAGCACUGUGCAAACACGAAAGUGGACGUAUACGGUGUGACGCCUGCCCGGUGCCGGAAGGUUAAUUGAUGGGGUUAGCGGCAACGCGAAGCUCUUGAUCGAAGCCCCGGUAAACGGCGGCCGUAACUAUAACGGUCCUAAGGUAGCGAAAUUCCUUGUCGGGUAAGUUCCGACCUGCACGAAUGGCGUAAUGAUGGCCAGGCUGUCUCCACCCGAGACUCAGUGAAAUUGAACUCGCUGUGAAGAUGCAGUGUACCCGCGGCAAGACGGAAAGACCCCGUGAACCUUUACUAUAGCUUGACACUGAACACUGGUCCUUGAUGUGUAGGAUAGGUGGGAGGCUUUGAAGCGUGGACGCCAGUCUGCGUGGAGCCAACCUUGAAAUACCACCCUUUAAUGGCUGGUGUUCUAACGUAGACCCGUGAUCCGGGUUGCGGACAGUGUCUGGUGGGUAGUUUGACUGGGGCGGUCUCCUCCCAAAGAGUAACGGAGGAGCACGAAGGUUAGCUAAUCCUGGUCGGACAUCAGGAGGUUAGUGCAAUGGCAUAAGCUAGCUUGACUGCGAGAGUGACGGCUCGAGCAGGUGCGAAAGCAGGUCAUAGUGAUCCGGUGGUUCUGAAUGGAAGGGCCAUCGCUCAACGGAUAAAAGGUACUCCGGGGAUAACAGGCUGAUACCGCCCAAGAGUUCAUAUCGACGGCGGUGUUUGGCACCUCGAUGUCGGCUCAUCACAUCCUGGGGCUGAAGUAGGUCCCAAGGGUAUGGCUGUUCGCCAUUUAAAGUGGUACGCGAGCUGGGUUUAGAACGUCGUGAGACAGUUCGGUCCCUAUCUGCCGUGGGCGCUGGAGAAUUGAGGGGGGCUGCUCCUAGUACGAGAGGACCGGAGUGGACGCAUCACUGGUGUUCGGGUUGUCAUGCCAAUGGCACUGCCCGGUAGCUAAAUGCGGAAGAGAUAAGUGCUGAAAGCAUCUAAGCACGAAACUUGCCCCGAGAUGAGUUCUCCCUGAGACUUAAAGUCUCCUGAAGGAACGUUGAAGACGACGACGUUGAUAGGUCGGGUGUGUAAGCGCAGCGAUGCGUUGAGCUAACCGAUACUAAUGAACCGUGAGGCUUAACCUUACAACGCCGAAGCUGUU